rnacentral:rRNA from 1 species
AUUGAACGCUGGCGGCAGGCCUAACACAUGCAAGUCGAACGAGUGGCGGACGGGUGAGUAAUGUCUGGGAAACCGCCUGAUGGAGGGGGAUAACUACUGGCAACGGUAGCUAAUACCGCAUACCAUCAGAUGUGCCCAGAUGGGAUUAGCUAGUCGGUGGGGUAAUGGCUCACCUAGGCGACGAUCCCUAGCUGGUCUGAGAGGAUGACCAGCCACACUGGAACUGAGACACGGUCCAGACUCCUAAGGGAGGCAGAAGGGGGGAAUAUUGCACAAUGGGCGAAAGCCUGAUGCAGCCAUGCCGCGUGUGUGAAGAAGGCCUUAGGGUUGUAAAGUACUUUCAGCGGGGAAGCGUUACCCGCAGAAGAAGCACCGGCUAACUCCGUGCCAGCAGCCGCGGUAAUAC